rnacentral:tRNA from 1 species
AACUAAGAAGCUAAAUAUUGGACAAAGCGUUGGCCUUUUAAGCCAAAGAAUGGUGAUUCAAGACCACCCUUAGUGA